CCACCUCCCCCCUAAUUCUCCAAAUUGACAUCCGCUUUUACUUCAUUUUGAUCCAAACUCUUCAAACUUUGCUUUGCUAUCCUUGGGUGCGGGUGCGGUGGUGUGGUGUGGUGGUGUGCCCUGUUCCUGCGUGCAGUGGUGUUUCGGUGGUACGACAGUGGUUGGCAUUCGUAGUGCGGGCUACAGAUCGUUUGAUCGUUGGUCGUCUAACAGGUGUUUCGUCUCCCAUGCUGUUCUGUUUCUGUUUCUGCUGCUGUUGUUGUGGUUUUCGUUUAUGGCGUUUUGGGGUGGUGGAGUGCUCAAGCAAGGAAGUUAAGAGAGCCAUGAAAGAUAGCCUUGUAAAAGCAAAAGGGUAAUUCUCUGUGUGUUUCAUAGAAUGAAAAAUGUUGUCUUUUGAACAAGUUUUGAUUUUUUUUUUCUGUAUGAACAACAGUAGAACAGAGUAUCUCACAGAUGAGUAAUAAAGAAGGAUGUAGAAGGUGCAGGAUGUGGUGGAACACCCACUCAUGCUUUGAACCUACAAACGCCUGAAAUUAAAAAUGCACUUACCUCUGCUACACUAUUAUUGGGAAUGUAAUAAAUAAAUAUAGGGGAAAAAACCAAGUGUUAAGUUUGCUGGAGGGUUUUCAAUUGUAUGUUUGAACAUUUCCUAUAUACAUGUAAAUGGAAAAAAUCCGAUAAUAAAUGUUCUUUAUGGAAAAAAUCCGAU
rnacentral:lncRNA from 1 species